AAUACACCUGUUAGCAAGGGCCGGGCAAGACCGGUGCCAGCCGCCGCGGUAACACCGGCGGCCCGAGUGGUGAUCGUGAUUAUUGGGUCUAAAGGGUCCGUAGCCGGUUUGGUCAGUCCUCCGGGAAAUCUGACAGCUCAACUGUUAGGCUUUCGGAGGAUACUGCCAGACUUGGAACCGGGAGAGGUAAGAGGUACUACAGGGGUAGGAGUGAAAUCUUGUAAUCCCUGUGGGACCACCUGUGGCGAAGGCGUCUUACCAGAACGGGUUCGACGGUGAGGGACGAAAGCUGGGGGCACGAAACCGGAUUAGAUACCCGGGUAGUCCCAGCCGUAAACGAUGCUCGCUAGGUGUCAGGCAUGGCGCCGACGUGUCUGGUGCCGCAGGGAAUCCGUGAAGCGAGCCACCUGGGAAGUACGGGCGCAAGGCUGAAACUUAAAGGAAUUGGCGGGGGGAGCACAACAACGGCUGGAGCCUGCGGUUUAAUUGGACUCAACGCCGGACAACUCUCCGGGGCUGACAGCAAUAUGUAGGCCAGUCUGAAGACCUUGCCUGAAUCGCUGAGAGGAGGUGCAUGGCCGUCGCCAGUUCGUACUGUGAAGCAUCCUGUUAAGUCAGGCAACGAGCGAGACCCGUGCCCACUGUUACCAGCAUGUCCUCAGGGACGAUGGGUACUCUGUGGGGACCGCCGGUGUUAAAUCGGAGGAAGGUGCGGGCCACGGUAGGUCAGUAUGCCCCGAAUCUCCCGGGCUACACGCGGGCUACAAUGGAUGGGACAAUGGGUCCCUACCCCG
rnacentral:rRNA from 1 species